GACUGCAAACUCCAACCAGGUUUAGACCUGAUCCUGUCUCACUCCAAGAUCUGAUUCAAUCUUGACUUUGUCUCAACUCUUUUAGAGCUAAAACUGUUAAGGUCCGUCUCACUUUGAGUUAUUUUUACAUUAACUGA